AGCACAAAUGAUGAACAAUAAAGGGACUUAAUACUGAAACACCUGAUGUUAGCUUGCAAUAAGCUGAUGUGC
rnacentral:snoRNA from 1 species